rnacentral:rRNA from 1 species
AGCGAACGCUGGCGGCAGGCCUAACACAUGCAAGUCGAACGAACUCUUCGGAGUUAGUGGCGGACGGGUGAGUAACACGUGGGAACGAGCCUUUUGGUUCGGAAUAACUCAGGGAAACUUGUGCUAAUACCGAAUGUGCCCUUCGGGGGAAAGAUUUAUCGCCAUUAGAGCGGCCCGCGUCUGAUUAGCUAGUUGGUGAGGUAACGGCUCACCAAGGCGACGAUCAGUAGCUGGUCUGAGAGGAUGACCAGCCACACUGGGACUGAGACACGGCCCAGACUCCUACGGGAGGCAGCAGUGGGGAAUCUUGCGCAAUGGGCGAAAGCCUGACGCAGCCAUGCCGCGUGAAUGAUGAAGGUCUUAGGAUUGUAAAAUUCUUUCACCGGGGACGAUAAUGACGGUACCCGGAGAAGAAGCCCCGGCUAACUUCGUG